GUACGGCCCUUUUACGGUGUAAAACGAGGCCCUACCGGUUUAAAAGCUUUUCAACGAAAAGGAAGGAGUAAAGUUAAUACCAUUGCUCAUAACCUUUCCCGCAAAAGAAACACCGGGGAACUACGUGCCAGGAGCAGCGGUAAUACGGAGGGUGCAAGCGUUAAUCAGAAUACCAGGAGUAAAACCCACUCCGGCGGUUUGUUAAGUCAGAUUUGAAAUCCCCGGGCUCAACAGGGGAACCGCAUCUGAAACGGGCAAGGUGGAGUCUCGAAGAGGGGGGUAGAAUUCGAGGUGUAGCGGUGCACUGCGUAGAGAUCUGGAGGAAUACCGGUGGCGAAGGCGGCCCCCUGGACGAAGACUGACGCUCAGGUGCGACAGCGUGGAGAGCAAACAGG
rnacentral:rRNA from 1 species